CAGGGAAUAUUGCACAAUGGGCGAAAGCCUGAUGCAGCGACGCCGCGUGCGGGAUGAAGGCCUUCGGGUUGUAAACCGCUUUCAGGAGGGACGAAAAUGACGGUACCUCCAGAAGAAGCCCCGGCCAACUACGUGCCAGCAGCCGCGGUAACACGUAGGGGGCGAGCGUUGUCCGGAUUUAUUGGGCGUAAAGGGCUCGUAGGCGGUUCAGCAAGUCAACUGUGAAAACCCGGGGCUCAACCCCGGGACGCCAGUCGAAACUGCUGUGACUAGGGUCCGGUAGAGGUGAGUGGAAUUCUCGGUGUAGCGGUGAAAUGCGCAGAUAUCGAGAGGAACACCAGUAGCGAAGGCGGCUCACUGGGCCGGUACCGACGCUGAGGAGCGAAAGCGUGGGGAGCAAACAGG
rnacentral:rRNA from 1 species